rnacentral:rRNA from 1 species
GACGAACGCUGGCGGCGUGCCUAAUACAUGCAAGUAGAACGCUGAAGGAGGAGCUUGCUUCUCUGGAUGAGUUGCGAACGGGUGAGUAACGCGUAGGUAACCUGCCUGGUAGCGGGGGAUAACUAUUGGAAACGAUAGCUAAUACCGCAUAAGAGUAGAUGUUGCAUGACAUUUGUUUAAAAGGUGCAAUUGCAUCACUACCAGAUGGACCUGCGUUGUAUUAGCUAGUUGGUGGGGUAACGGCUGACCAAGGCGACGAUACAUAGCCGACCUGAGAGGGGGAUCGGCCACACUGGGACGGAGACACGGCCCAUACGCCUACGGGAGGCAGCAGUAGGGAAUCUUCGGCAAUAGACGGAAGUCUGACCGAGCAACGCCGCGUGAGUGAAGAAGGUUUUCGGAUCGUAAAGCUCUGUUGUAAGAGAAGAACGAGUGUGAGAGUGGAAAGUUCACACUGUGACGGUAUCUUACCAGAAAGGGACGGCUAACUACGUG